rnacentral:tRNA from 1 species
GGUCGUAUGCCCGAGUGGUGAGGGAGCCGCCUGCAAAGCGGCGUACCGGGGUUCGAUUCCCCGUGCGGCCUCCA